rnacentral:rRNA from 1 species
CUGGAUUCAGCGGCGGACGGAUGAGUAAUGCCUAGGAAUCUGCCUGGUAGUGGGGGACAACGUUUCGAAAGGAACGCUAAUACCGCAUACGUCCUACGGGAGAAAGCAGGGGACCUUCGGGCCUUGCGCUAUCAGAUGAGCCUAGGUCGGAUUACCUUGUUGGUGAGGUAAUGGCUCACCAAGGCGACCAUCCGUAACUGGUCUGAGAGGAUGAACAGGCACACUGGAACUGACACACGGUCCAGACUCCUACGGGAGGAAGCAGUGGGGAAUAUUGGACAAUGAACCAAAGCCUGAUCCAGCCAUGCCGCGUGAGUAAAGAAGGUCUUCGGAUUGUAAAUCACUUUACGUUGGGAGGAAGGGUUGUAGAUUAAUACUCUGCAAUUUUGACGUUCCCGACUGAAUAAGCCCCGGCUAACUCUGUGCCAGCAGCCGCGGGAAUACAGAGGGGUGCAAGCGUUAAUCGGGAAUUACUGGGCGUAAAGCGCGCGUAGGUGGCUUGUUAAGUUGGAUGUCAAAGCCCCGGGUCAACCUGGGAACUGCAUCGAAAACUGGCAAGCUAAAGUACGGUAGAGGAGGGCGGAAUUAUCCUGUGUAGCGUCCACGUGCAGAGAUAUAAGGGAGGAACACCUGGGGAGGAACGCGACCACCUGAACUGAUUUUUGUCGCUUGAGGUGCGACGCCGAGGGCGAGAAAGCGGGAUAAGAUACCCCGGAUAGUCCACCCCGGAACCCCACGCCACUAACCGUUAGGAUCCCUUGAGGAUUUUAGUUGCCCCCCCUUUACGCAUUAAGUU